GCCACCUUACAUGGUUUAGCAAUGUGGGAAAAUAGAGCUGGAGAGAUGAGUGUGCCUGUCUGUCUUCCUGUAAGCUCACGUGUUCCUGUGUUCCCGUCCCGCAAAAAGACACGACCCGGGCGAUAGGCACACCCUCGGGUCUGCUGUAGGUCUCUCCACAACCUGUUCUGAAGAUUAUCCCAGGAGAAACGAGCAGAGCAUGAUUUUCUUGCCUUGGAGGUGUUUGCUGAUUCUAAGAACUCCUUCAGUGGUACGAUCAAAAAAAAAUUCAUGACACAAAAGAUGUUCAUAUUGGGUGAACUGCAGCAGCAACAAAUCCGUGGACUCGCCCAGUGGCCCAGCUCCCCUUUCAGGUUUUCUGCUGUUGGUGGAUUUGGAUCUCAGCCUCUGGAAGGGGCUCCACCCGCUCAUCUCGACCUUGAGUGAUUUCAUAAUUAAAAACAAUUAGACAGCCAAGUUGGUAUUUUGGGCUUUUCUCUUCUUUCCUCCCAAGACUCCCACAGGAGCAGAUUGCUCUGGCCAAAUGUGGCAGAAGAAAAGCAUCAUCUUUCAGCGACAUGAUAAGGAACUGAUACAGACAAUGGCCUUCAAUCAAGUGAUAUUGGGAGGACCUCAUGAGUAGCUGAUCCUCAAGAACUCGAGAUACCAUCUCAGGAGCCCAUUAGGGUAAAGCCCUAUCAGGCUGUCAGAGCAUUUUCUUCCUACUCUGGAUCUGGUUGAGGACUUUGUACCUUGGCAUGCUGUUGUUGAAUUUGGGUUCAUUCCAGAGAACAAGAACCCUCUACUGAUCUACUGUGGUUUCUGGCUUGAGAUUUUGAAAGACUUUAGCUCAUUGUAUAUUUGAAGUAGGAUUUUUUUCCUUAAUGGAAAACUCUUUCUCCAUUAUUUCAGUUCAAGUGACAAGGACAUAAUUCAUGAAUUCAAAGUGUCAUUAUGAAUUGACCACUUAACCUGUUGGUUGAGCUGGAUUGUUGUUUGCCUCUUUCCCUCAAACACACAUAUUUGAGAUUCUGAAAUGAAAAUGCUUUGGUCAGUGUGGGGAUAAUUCACGAAUGGGCUCUAAAAUUUCUUCUCCUAAAUCAACUCCACGUGUUCUUAAAAUGAGUCUUUUUGAUGCUAUCUUUGGUUUUUGAUGCUUCAACUCUCAUCGUAGACUAGCCCAGCCUGCCAUGCUUCCCCGAGGGCAGGCCUGGGCCUUCAUCUGUAAGAUAACAUCAGUGGGUCAUUAUUUCAAUUCUGAUGAAUGUGCAAAUAUAAAAAGGCCUUGUCCCAUCUGGCUCUCUUCACAGGGGACUGAGAGAUGGUGAUGGCCAGACCACUUAAUUUCUGUCGAGACCAAAAAAAGAAAUAAAGAACAGAUCUAGAGUGCCAGGAAACAGGAGCCAGGCAUUUGGUUGUUAAAAUCACAAGAACAACUGGAUGGCCAACACAGUCUGAUCUAAAUGGCAUGAGCGUUUCAUCGUGGCUUUCUGAUCCACACCAUCAAUGGCCAUUCCUACAACUGUAGAAACCUAACAUUCUCCAUGACUGUGGUAAUGCUAAUUCAUACUUGGUCUCUGGCUUCUGAUGAAACAAAGCCCUUUCAUGAUAUAAAUGGGAAGGAGAGCCAGACUUGAUUUGAAGAUCCCCAUGAGACCUUUCUUCUUACAGACAUGACUUGCCACUUCCUUUUCAAAUCUGGGGGAAUGCUAAACAUGACUCUCAUGUGGGAUGCACGCUUGGCAAAGUCUGAGUUGGAAAAAUGUACACCUUGAGUGAUCUGCUUGCCACCAGUCCUCAGAGCAUCUUUCAGAUGCUGAGAUGCCAUGUUACGACCCAAUAUUUUGCUCCACUGACUAAACCCCAAUGUUAAGAAGCUAACAACUUUUACAAGGAAGCUUCUGGAAGGAAAGAGAACAGCUUCUUCAUCGAUGUCAACACUCAAGCAAAUGUAUUCAUAGCUCUUUGAUAUGUCAUGAUUGUCCUUCAAGUAAAUGUACUCCAGGAGAUAUCUCUACUUGUAGAAACAAAAAGAAUAAAAUAAAAAAAUACUUGCGUGAGGUAACACAGACCCAACAGGACAUACAUGGUAUGUACUAACUUAUAAGUGGAUAUUAGUCAUGAAAUACAGAAUAACCAUACUAUAAUCAGCAAACCCAAAGAAGUUAAAUAACAAGGAAGGCCCAAGGGAGGAUUGGUGAAUCUUCCUCUGAAGAGGAAACAAAAAAGAUAUGGUCAUUGGAAGGAGGGAACUGGGUAAAGAAAGGAGGGGAGAUCAUGUGUAGGGAGAACAGAGGAGACAGAAUGGAGAGCGGCUUGGAGGAACAAUCUCUAGGAUGUGCCAGAGACCUGGGAUGGGGGGAGGCCCCAGAGGGUCUAUGGUGGCAACUCUAGCUGAGACUCCAAGCAGUGGGAGAAAAGUGGCCACUUUCCUGUAGCCAGGCAGGACUUCCAGAGGAGGGAUAAGGUCAUUAACCACACCCAUAAAACCUUCUACCCCAAAUGUGUCCUGCCUACAAGCAGUACAGGGGGAAAAGGCAGAGCAGAGACUGAGGCAAUGGCCAACCAAUGACUGCCCUAUACUGAGACCCAUCCUGUGGGCAUGAACCAACCUCUGACACUAUUAAUGUUACUCUGCUAUGCUUGCAGACAGGGACCUAGCAUAACUGACUUCUGAGAGGUUCCACUCAGCAGCCAAUGGAGAGAGAUGCAGAGACUCACACCCAAGAAUUAGAUGGAGUUUGAGAAGUCUUACAAAGGAGUUGGGAGAAGAAUUGGGAGACCUGAAGAUGACAGGGACUCCACAGGAAGACCAACAGAGAGACUGAAUCACCAACCAAAGUGCAUGCAACAGCUGAACCUAGGUCUUCCUGCACACAUGCAGCAGAUGAGCAGCUAGGUCUUCAAGAGGGUCCCCAAAUAACUGGAACAGAGGCUAUCCCUUAGUCUGUUGUCUACCUGCCUGAGGAUCCCACACCCCUAAAGGGACUGCCUUGUCUGGCCUCAGUGGAAAAAGAU